rnacentral:tmRNA from 1 species
GGGGGCGAUCUGGAUUCGACGACGGUAUCGAAACCUUAGGUGCAUGCCGAGGACGUAGUGGUUCUCGUUAAUCAAAACACUACAAACCUUAUAGUUGCCAACUUGGUAGCUCUUGGAGACGCUCCUAACGAACUCUUCGAAGAAGAGUUUGCUUUUGCAGCUUAAUCGUAGCUAAACCCUACGAGUUUCCCAGUCUGUCCGGCUCGUCUACUGGCCGGUUUUCGGACUGUCAUCGUAAGUAGACUCGCGAGGCCCAGUAUGCCUGUGACUGGCCAGCUAAAACUUAACAGGAUCGCUUGAUAGAACCCCGACCGCUGGGUCGUUAUUGAGUUAAAUUUAAAGGCGGAUCUAAGCAUGUAGAGCCGAAGGCUAAGAAUCGGCGGACGCGGGUUCAAUUCCCGCCGCCUCCACCA